rnacentral:rRNA from 1 species
UACGUAGGGUGCGAGCGUUGUCCGGAAUUACUGGGCGUAAAGAGCUCGUAGGUGGUUUGUCGCGUUGUUCGUGAAAACUCACAGCUCAACUGUGGGCGUGCGGGCGAUACGGGCAGACUGGAGUACUGCAGGGGAGACUGGAAUUCCUGGUGUAGCGGUGGAAUGCGCAGAUAUCAGGAGGAACACCGGUGGCGAAGGCGCCACUCUGGGCCGGUACUGACGCUGAGGAGCGAAAGCGUGGGGAGCGAACAGG